rnacentral:rRNA from 1 species
UACGGGGGGGCAAGCGUUGUUCGGAAUUACUGGGCGUAAAGGCUCGUAGGCGGCCAACUAAGUCAGACGUGAAAUCCCUCGGCUUAACCGGGGAACUGCGUCUGAUACUGGAUGGCUUGAGAUUGGGAGAGGGAUGCGGAAUUCCAGGUGUAGCGGUGAAAUGCGUAGAUAUCUGGAGGAACACCGGUGGCGAAGGCGGCAUCCUGGACCAACACUGACGCUGAGGAGCGAAAGCCAGGGGAGCAAAGCGGG